AAAAAGUUCUCUUUCUCGGUACUUUUCAUUCGAAAAUUGUAAACUUAGUAGAGGACUUGCGAUUUUGGAUGCGAAAAGCUGGAUUUGGCGACUAGUGCGAGCUAUUUUAAGAAGCAGUAGAAGGACAGAAGUCCACAAUGCCCGGUAGAGGGUAGAAGAAGCAAUGCCAAUGGGAAACUCAAACACAAAUUUCAAUACAAGAAAGCCCUAACCAGGCCCUAACCUAGCGAAACGAUGUUGAAAACAACCCCAAAAUAACUGUUCAAUUCUCAAUGGACGAAGCAACUUACCAUGAUGCAGUAAAUCUAGAUUGAAGACUCGUUUCGUGCAAUUGGCACAACAGGAAACCUCCGAAAAUUUUACUACGAGGAAAAUUGUAAAAGAAGAAACGUGGAUCAGUAUUGCUUAUACAGCCAGGUCAUCAUCUUGGUAGAGUGAGUCUUAGCUUAGUAGAACUCUAGUAGAACUGAACAACCAGUGUCUUAAUGACUAUACCAUUAUGUUUUAGGCAUGCAUGGUACUCCACUUAAAAACAUUUUCUAAAUUUUUUGCAAAUGUGCAUGUGUGUUAAAGUGUAAAUAAAAAGUAUUAAAGAGCUAUACUAUAGAAGCAAUUCCUUUAAUGCGUAGUUGACUUGCUGUACUCAAACAGAAAUGUAAUUGAUCUCAUGUAUUCAAUAUUAUAAUAAUAUAAUAA